rnacentral:lncRNA from 1 species
GAAAAUUACCAGAAAAAAUAAUAGCAACUACAAGCGCUAGUAUUCUAUUACUAGUACUCUGUUUUAGAAAAAUAAAUGAUAUAAAGUUUGUGGAUAUGUUUUCCCACAUUUAUUUUGGACAUGAGGGUAGUAAUACAUAAGUUACCUUUGAAUAAAACAUUGUCCUGUUUUACCACAGAUUAUACACAGGUUAUAUAAUCCCAGAAUUUAAACAUUUGCUCAAGUAAGAAUUUCCUCCAUCCCACCAACACUAUUACAGAUUUAUUCAAGUGUUAGAAAUAGUCCAGAAAAAAAUAUAAGCCAAUCUAGCACCUAGUAAGAUCAUGUGGAAAACUAUUUGAAUUUUUAUUCCUCAUCCUGAAACAAAAAAAUAUAAGGAACUCUCAAGAACAAAGCAGGACGUAUUCUCUGUUAUUUUGAAUUCUGUUCCUGGCUAAAUAUUAUUUUUAAAUUCCUACUCUUGAAAACUUAUAAAACAUUGCUGGAAAAAAGGUUCUAAUAAUAAUCUUAAAAUAUUCAUUAUACUUCCUUUUUACUGUUUUGUACUGUUCUCUUUAUUUUUGAAAUGUUGCUAUAUAUUCAUUUUUACUAGUUUUAUAGCUUUGAAUAUUUUAGGUUAAUCUGGGUCACAUUUCUAAUAGAAGUUUUUUAAAACUCCUCAUGUCCCUUUACCGUCUAAAUUGGAGCCAUCUUGCCAUUCACAUUGACAGGAAGCACAGUACAGAUGGAAAUGAACAUUGUGAUUUGAAAGGUAUUGGGACCACACUGUAAACUCCUAUCCUUCAAUGUACGUCGCUUGAAUAUAACUUU